GAACGCUAAAAACGGAACCAGGAGAAAACAAAGAUAUGAGGUCAAAUAUGAUGAUGAACGAGUGAUCCCUUUCCCAUGAAAGCAAGCAACUACUCCAACCCUUGGUGAAUAUUUGGGCUCAUCACGGCUUGGAAAGGAGGUGGUGAGUGGGCUCGCUGGUAUCCUACCUCAUUGAAAAACUGGAAUCAAGAACCAAGAGGAUUAAAUUGCACGCACAUUGGGUGAUUUCUCAUCAUGAACCGCGCUUUUAGCAGGAAGAAAGAUAAAACGUGGAUGCACACUCCCGAGGCUUUAUCAAAGCAUUACAUCCCCUACAGCGCAAA